rnacentral:rRNA from 1 species
UACGUAGGGGGCAAGCGUUGUCCGGAAUCAUUGGGCGUAAAGAGCGUGUAGGUGGCUCGGUAAGUCCGCUGUGAAAGUUCUGGGCUCAACCUGGGAACUGCGCUUGAUACGGCAGAGCUAGAGGAUGGAAGAGGCUCGCGGAAUUCCCAGUGUAGAGGUGAAAUUCGUAGAUAUUGGGAAGAACACCGGUGGCGAAGGCGGCGAGCUGGUCCAUUACUGACGCUGAGGCGCGACAGCGUGGGGAGCAAACAGG